rnacentral:rRNA from 1 species
AUUGAACGCUGGCGGCAGGCCUAACACAUGCAAGUCGAACGGUAACAGGAAACAGCUUGCUGUUUCGCUGACGAGUGGCGGACGGGUGAGUAAUGUCUGGGAAACUGCCUGAUGGAGGGGGAUAACUACUGGAAACGGUAGCUAAUACCGCAUAACGUCGCAAGACCAAAGAGGGGGACCUUCGGGCCUCUUGCCAUCGGAUGUGACCAGAUGGGAUUAGCUAGUAGGUGGGGUAACGGCUCACCUAGGCGACGAUCCCUAGCUGGUCUGAGAGGAUGAGCAGCCACACUGGAACUGAGACAAGGUCCAGACUCCUACGGGAGGCAGCAGUGGGGAAUAUUGCACAAUGGGCGCAAGCCUGAUGCAGCCAUGUCGCGUGUAUGAAGAAGGCCUUCGGGUUGUAAAGUACUUUCAGCGGGGAGGAAGGGAGUAAAGUUAAUACCUUUGCUCAUUGACGUUACCCGCAGAAGAAGCACCGGCUAACUCCGUGCCAGCCGCCGCCGUAA